rnacentral:rRNA from 1 species
AAUGAACGUUGGCGGCGUGGAUUAGGCAUGCGAGUCGAGCGAGAACCGUAGCAAUACGGGGACAGCGGCGAAAGGGACAGUAACGGGUAGAUUAUCUGCCCUCAGGUUUGGGAUAGCUGCGGGAAACUGCAAGUAAUACCAAAUAAUAUCUCCGGAUCAAAGGUGUGAUUCCGCCUGAGGAUGAGUCUGCCUCCUAUUAGCUAGUUGGUGGGGUAACGGCCUACCAAGGCGUUGAUGGGUAGCGGGUGUGAGCGCCCGACCCGCGUCAUGGGGACUGAGACACUGCCCAGACACCUACGGGUGGCUGCAGUCGAGAAUCUUCGGCAAUGGACGCAAGUCUGACCGAGCGACGCCGCGUGUGGGAUGAAGGCCUUCGGGUUGUAAACCACUGUCAGAGGGGAUGAAAUGCAGGUGGGUUCUCCCAUCUGUUUGACAUAGCCUCAGAGGAAGUACGGGCUAAGUUCGUGCCAGCCGCCGCCGUAA